rnacentral:rRNA from 1 species
AUACAGAAGGCUUGCCCACCCCCCAAAGACUUAAUGAAAUAAUCAUAGAUCAUAAGAAGUAUUGGAGAUAGAAACUUAGAGAGGAGCUAUAGAAUACAAGUAUCGUAAGAGAAAGCAAGAAAUAGUAAUAAGAAGAGAUAAGACCUCGUCCCUUGUGUAUCAUGGCUUAGCAACCUAACCCUUUAGAUUAACUUUCCCGAAACCCAAUGAGCUACUAAUCCCUAGUUUGGAACCCAUCAGUCCUUGUGGCAAAAAGGUUGAAAGAGGCUUUAGUAGAGACAAUAUAUCUGUCGCAUUGGGGUAUAGCUGGUUUCCAGGGAAACAUAUCGAAGUAUAAGAGGGUUAACACCCUUCUUCCUGCCUAGGGGACAAUCUCUUAGCAGAACUUACUUUGUGAAAUACAACCCUAAUCAUAAUCUGGGCUUAAAAUCAGCCUUGAUCCUAAAACAAGUUACAUUGUAAUGAGAAACGGGGGUAUAAUUAUAAAUCCACAAUUCAAGAGUACCUGGAGACUCUGAUCAACGUUCAUCAGAAGACAUUAUGCUAAGACGAGUACAGUUAUCCUCAAAUCCCAUAAAGAGGUAACUUAACAGAUAAAGAUAAGGAAUUCGGCAAACAAAAGCUCUGACUGUUUAUCAAAAACAUAGCCAUUAGAACUUACGGAUGGUAAAACCUGCCCAGUGGUGGAUCUUAACGGCUGCGGU